AACAAACGCUGGCGGCGUGCCUAAUACAUGCAAGUCGAACGGGGAAAGCUUUCGGGUGAGUACUAGUGGCGCACGGGUGAGUAACGCGUGGAUAAUCUGCCUUAGAGUGGGGGAUAACUAGUCGAAAGAUUAGCUAAUACCGCAUAAGACCACAAGAACUGCGGUUCAAGAGGUCAAAGGUUUUUCGCUCUAAGAUGAGUCCGCGUAAGAUUAGCUAGUUGGUGAGGUAACGGCUCACCAAGGCAACGAUCUUUAACUGGUCUGAGAGGAUGAGCAGUCACACUGGAACUGAGACACGGUCCAGACUUCUACGGGAGGCAGCAGUAGGGAAUAUUGCACAAUGGAGGAAACUCUGAUGCAGCGACGCCGCUUGAGUGAUGAAGGCCUUCGGGUCGUAAAGCUCUGUCGCAGGGGAAUAACACAAUGAAUGUACCCUGUAAGAAAGGAUCGGCUAACUUCGUGCCAGCCGCCGCGGUAACAC
rnacentral:rRNA from 1 species